AAGGGGCUUUGGAAUCAGGUGUCUUCUCCCUCCUCCCUUCCCCCCAGUCUGCACUCUGUAUGGUCCUUGGAAUGGAUCUGAUGUCCAUCCAACCUGGGCCUUUGUUCUUCCAGAGUCUGACUCUAGUCAGAAGCUUCCUAUUUCUUAAGAAGAGUGGGAAGAAGGGGAGGGAAUUUGUUGUGAUUAAGGACACAGCUGAGUUAAUGCAAAGUCCCUAAGUCAGUAAGCCCUUAUGACCUCAUAGGUGUUAGCUAGCCCUCCUGCCUAGACCAGGUCACAGCUGUCAAAGCCGGUCAGAGGGAGACAGCUUCCAAACCAUGGGAGGUCAAGUCUCUAAGAGUAGUAAUGAAUCUGAAAACGAAUCUAACAACUUUGAAGAAAAACACACGGCUGAUCACUUUUGAAUGGGAAUGAAUUUCAUGGAGGGGGUCCAGACUCUGGGGCUUGAUGCAAUCAACAAAAUGUCAUCUGAAAAUAAAGGCAUUUGGAGGAGCUCGGGAGCCUGUGAAGAACCCUUCUUCCAUUCCAGCCGCCUAAGACGCUCCGUGGCGGAGGCCAGCGCUCGGUUUUAAGCCGCUUUAAGCUUCGCGUGCUGUACAGAACGGGAGAACGGCUGAACCAAGUUCUCUCUCUGGUUUCAUUUAUCAAAGACUUCUUAAAAAUUUAUCGUCACCCACCAAA